rnacentral:rRNA from 1 species
GGUGGAGGGGGGCUAUCUGUAGUGGAGCGCAGAACCGAGGCUUCUGGCUGGGGUAAAGACGCGAACGGGCGAGUAUAUGUGGGUAACCGCCCUGAUGGAGGGGAACCUGAGGAAAACUGGGGCUAACUCGGACGUGCUUCUGACGACCAAGUGGGGGGAGCUUCGGUCCUCUUGGCAUCGGAUGUGCGCAGAGGGCAUUAGCUAGUAAGUGAGGGGGCGGCUCACCUGGGCAACGAUCCCUAGCUGGGCAGAUAGGAUGACCCGCCGCGCUUGAACUGAGGCACAGACCCUACUCCUACGGGACGCUGCGGAGGUUAAUAUUGCGCAAUGAGCGCUGACCUGAUACUGCCGUGCCACGUGUAUAAAGAAUGCCGACGGGUUGUUAAGUACUUUCAGCGAAAAGGAGGGGGGUAUAAUUUAUACCUUUGCUCAUUGUCCUUGCCCGCAGAAGAAGCACCUAAUAACUCCCUGCCAUCAUCCGCAAUAAUUCGGAGGGUACAAUCUAUUAGUCGUAUUUACUGGUCGUAAAGCGCACGCACGCGGUUUGUUAAGACAGUAUGUUAAAUCCCCUGGCUCUACCUGGAAACUGCAUCUGAUACUGUCCAGCGUGAAUCUCGUAAAUGGGGAUAUAAUUCCAGGUGUAGCAGUGAAAUGCGUAGAUAUCUGGAAGAAUACCGAGUGGCGAAGGCGACCCCCUGGACAAAGACUGACACUCGAUUGCACAAGCAGUGUGAGCAAACAGAAUUAGAUACCCUGGUAGUCCUCUCCGCAAACGAUGUCUACUAGGUGGUUGUUCCCUUGAUGCGUGGCUUCCUAAGCUUACUCGU